rnacentral:rRNA from 1 species
CGACUCCUACGGGAGGCAGCAGUAGGGAAUUUUCGUCAAUGGGCGCAAGCCUGAACGAGCAAUGCCGCGUGAACGAGGAAGGUCUUCGGAUCGUAAAGUUCUGUUGAAGGGGAAAAAGAGCGGAGAGAGGAAACGCUUUCUGAUUGAUAUUACCCUUCGAGGAAGUCACGGCUAACUACGUGCCAGCAGCCGCGGUAAUACGUAGGUGGCGAGCGUUAUCCGGAAUGAUUGG